rnacentral:rRNA from 1 species
GAUGAACGUUGGCGGUACGCCUAAUACAUGCAAGUCGAACGGAGAUUGUAGCAAUACUGUCUUAGUGGCGAACGGGUGAGUAACGCGUUGGUGAUCUGCCUCGAAGUGUGGAAUAACGGUUCGAAAGAACCGCUAAUACCGCAUAGUCUCUCUUAUUUUAGAAAUUUGAGAGUAAAGGAGUAAUCCGCUUUGAGAGGAGCCUGCGUCCCAUCAGCUAGUUGGUAGGGUAAAAGCCUACCAAGGCUAUGACGGGUAGGGGACCUGAGAGGGUGACCCCCCACAAUGGAACUGAAACACGGUCCAUACACCUACGGGUGGCAGCAGUAGGGAAUAUUAGUAAUGGAGGAAACUCUGAACUAGCGAUACCGCGUGUGCGAAGAAGGCCUUCGGGUUGUAAAGCACUUUUUUGAGAGGAUGAGGAAGGACGGUACUCUCAGAAUAAGUCUCGGCUAACUACGUG